ACGGGUGAGUAACGCGUGGGAAUCUACCGUGCCCUGCGGAAUAGCUCCGGGAAACUGGAAUUAAUACCGCAUAUGCCCUACGGGGGAAAGAUUUAUCGGGGUAUGAUGAGCCCGCGUUGGAUUAGCUAGUUGGUGGGGUAAAGGCCUACCAAGGCGACGAUCCAUAGCUGGUCUGAGAGGAUGAUCAGCCACAUUGGGACUGAGACACGGCCCAAACUCCUACGGGAGGCAGCAGUGGGGAAUAUUGGACAAUGGGCGCAAGCCUGAUCCAGCCAUGCCGCGUGAGUGAUGAAGGCCUUAGGGUUGUAAAGCUCUUUCACCGGAGAAGAUAAUGACGGUAUCCGGAGAAGAAGCCCCGGCUAACUUCGUGCCAGCAGCCGCGGUAAUACGAAGGGGGCUAGCGUUGUUCGGAAUUACUGGGCGUACAGCGCACGUAGGCGGAUAUUUAAGUCAGGGGUGAAAUCCCAGAGCUCAACUCUGGAACUGCCUUUGAUACUGGGUAUCUUGAGUAUGGAAGAGGUAAGUGGAAUUCCGAGUGUAGAGGUGAAAUUCGUAGA
rnacentral:rRNA from 1 species